rnacentral:lncRNA from 1 species
UCCCUCCCUAUCAAGUCCAUUUUAUGCAUGCUGCUCACGGGUUUCAGUAGUCAUAAUGACUCUUUUGUUUUUCAGGAGGGAAUGUCAAAAUUAAGAGAACUGUAAAACCAUUCACCACCCAUUAUUUUUAUAAUUAGUAGGGGAUGGGCUGAGGGCAAGAUCAAGCCUCCAUAUUUUAGCAUCUUUUCUUUGGAUUUUUUUUUUUUUUUUCAGAUGACAAGGCUGCAUCGAGUCUCAUCUGACAAGCUAUUGUCAGGCAGAUGUCUUCAUUAAGUCUGUGUAGGAAGACGAGCACAUCAAAGGGAAGAAGCCAGCAUUUUCCUUCUGGAACUCUGCAUAGGAAUCAUAUAUUUUGGAAGAUGAUCUAUGACCUUUCUUAAUGAUGCUUUGUACCAUCAAGAAGCACCGAGCCUUAAGGAAGUGCCUCUCCUCUUAAUAUGAAAAGGCUUUUGAAGACUGCAGAGGCUGGGAAGACUGGAGCUGGUGGGAGUUCCUAAUUGAUAAUAUACCCCACAGGACACUUGUCUUUUUAAGGAUAGCAUUUCAGCAGCUAUCACCAGGGAGUGGUGGUGGAUGAUUUCGGAAGAGAAACCAAUGCCUUUAAAACUCUGAGUACUUAACAGUUGUAAAAUCAUGCCAUAGGCAGAAGAGAUGGCACACUCCUCUAGAUACAUCAUCACCCUGAAGUCUGAGGCAGGGCGGGUCUAAGUUGGAGGUCAGUCUAAGGAACACAGCAAGCCUGAAGCCAGCCUGAGCCAUGCAGAUCCUGCCUCAUAAACAAAAACAAGCAGGACAACAACAAAUGCACACAAAACUAAAAAAAAAAUUAUAAAGCAAAAAGGAGAGAAAUUAUUUGUUCAUAUGUCUCUUUUUGUACUUGCUCACUCAAGGGGGUAAUUAAUGUGUGGAGGCAGACAUCCAUGGCUCUGGGGUGAUCAACACAAGUUCGAAGCUAACCUGGGCUACAGGAAGUUCUAGAACUAUUAGUGGGCAGAGCAAGACCUUGUCUGAAUAGAUGAUAGACAGAUAGCUGAUAGAUAUACAUGAUUGAUAGAUGAUGAUGAUAGAUAGAUGAUAGAUGAUAGACAGAUGGCCUGGAGAGAUGGCUUUCAGUGGACAAAUGCAUUUGCUGAGAAAGCCUGAUGAUUUGGGUUCACUCCUCAUAAUCCAUAUGGUGGAAGAAAAAUGACUCCCAUAAG